rnacentral:rRNA from 1 species
AUUGAACGCUGGCGGCAUGCCUUACACAUGCAAGUCGAACGGCGGCACGGAGCUUGCUCUGGUGGCGAGUGGCGAACGGGUGAGUAAUAUAUCGGAACGUACCCUAGAGUGGGGGAUAACGUAGCGAAAGUUACGCUAAUACCGCAUACGAUCUAAGGAUGAAAGUGGGGGAUCGCAAGACCUCAUGCUCGUGGAGCGGCCGAUAUCUGAUUAGCUAGUUGGUAGGGUAAAAGCCUACCAAGGCAUCGAUCAGUAGCUGGUCUGAGAGGACGACCAGCCACACUGGAACUGAGACACGGUCCAGACUCCUACGGGAGGCAGCAGUGGGGAAUUUUGGACAAUGGGCGAAAGCCUGAUCCAGCAAUGCCGCGUGAGUGAAGAAGGCCUUCGGGUUGUAAAGCUCUUUUGUCAGGGAAGAAACGGUGGGAGCUAAUAUCUCUUGCUAAUGACGGUACCUGAAGAAUAAGCACCGGCUAACUACGUGCCAGCAGCCGCGGUAAUACGUAGGGUGCAAGCGUUAAUCGGAAUUACUGGGCGUAAAGCGUGCGCAGGCGGUUUUGUAAGUCUGAUGUGAAAUCCCCGGGCUCAACCUGGGAAUUGCAUUGGAGACUGCAAGGCUAGAAUCUGGCAGAGGGGGGUAGAAUUCCACGUGUAGCAGUGAAAUGCGUAGAUAUGUGGAGGAACGCCGAUGGCGAAGGCAGCCCCCUGGGUCAAGAUUGACGCUCAUGCACGAAAGCGUGGGGAGCAAACAGGAUUAGAUACCCUGGUAGUCCACGCCCUAAACGAUGUCUACUAGUUGUCGGGUCUUAAUUGACUUGGUAACGCAGCUAACGCGUGAAGUAGACCGCCUGGGGAGUACGGUCGCAAGAUUAAAACUCAAAGGAAUUGACGGGGACCCGCACAAGCGGUGGAUGAUGUGGAUUAAUUCGAUGCAACGCGAAAAACCUUACCUACCCUUGACAUGGCUGGAAUCCUUGAGAGAUCAGGGAGUGCUCGAAAGAGAACCAGUACACAGGUGCUGCAUGGCUGUCGUCAGCUCGUGUCGUGAGAUGUUGGGUUAAGUCCCGCAACGAGCGCAACCCUUGUCAUUAGUUGCUACGAAAGGGCACUCUAAUGAGACUGCCGGUGACAAACCGGAGGAAGGUGGGGAUGACGUCAAGUCCUCAUGGCCCUUAUGGGUAGGGCUUCACACGUCAUACAAUGGUACAUACAGAGCGCCGCCAACCCGCGAGGGGGAGCUAAUCGCAGAAAGUGUAUCGUAGUCCGGAUUGUAGUCUGCAACUCGACUGCAUGAAGUUGGAAUCGCUAGUAAUCGCGGAUCAGCAUGUCGCGGUGAAUACGUUCCCGGGUCU